CCUACGGGAGGCAGCAGUAGGGAAUAUUGCUCAAUGGGGGAAACCCUGAAGCAGCAACGCCGCGUGGAGGAUGAAGGUUUUCGGAUUGUAAACUCCUUUUGUUAGAGAAGAUAAUGACGGUAUCUAAAGAAUAAGCACCGGCUAACUCCGUGCCAGAAGCCGCGGUAAUACGUAGGGUGAAAGAGUUAGUCGGAAUCACUGGGCGUAAAGAGCGCGUAGGCGGGAUAGCAAGUGAGAUGUGAAAUCCUAUGGCUUAACCCUAGAACUGCAUUUGAAACUUGUAUUAUAGAGUAUGGGAGAGGUAGGUGGAAUUCUUGGUGUAGGGGUAAAAUCUGUAGAUAUCAAGAGGAAUACUCAUUGCGAAGGCGACCUGCUAGAACAUAACUGACGCUGAUGCGCGAAAGCGUGGGGAGCAAACAGGAUUAGAUACCCGAGUAGUC
rnacentral:rRNA from 1 species